CUCAAGGAAGCGCUUUGUCCACGUGGACACAAAGCGCGCCCUCAAGGACGCGUUUUCUGUCCACGUGGACGCUUCCUUGAGG
rfam:Gossypium raimondii scaffold_19_contig_8, whole genome shotgun sequence.